rnacentral:rRNA from 1 species
UACGGAGGGUGCAAGCGUUAUCCGGAUUUACUGGGUUUAAAGGGUGCGCAGGCGGGUAUGUAAGUCAGGGGUGAAAUCUUUAGGCUUAACCUGAAAAUUGCCGUUGAUACUAUAUAUCUUGAAUGCUGUGGAGGUAAGCAGAAUAUGUCAUGUAGCGGUGAAAUGCUUAGAUAUGACAUAGAAUACCUAUUGCGAAGGCAGCUUACUACGCAGAUAUUGACGCUCAUGCACGAAAGCGUGGGGAUCAAACAGG